AUUGAACGCUGGCGGCAGGCCUAACACAUGCAAGUCGAACGGUAACAGGAAGCAGCUUGCUGCUUUGCUGACGAGUGGCGGACGGGUGAGUAAUGUCUGGGAAACUGCCUGAUGGAGGGGGAUAACUACUGGAAACGGUAGCUAAUACCGCAUAACGUCGCAAGACCAAAGAGGGGGACCUUAGGGCCUCUUGCCAUCGGAUGUGCCCAGAUGGGAUUAGCUAGUAGGUGGGGUAACGGCUCACCUAGGCGACGAUCCCUAGCUGGUCUGAGAGGAUGACCAUCCACACUGGAACUGAGACACGGUCCAGACUCCUACGGGAGGCAGCAGUGGGGAAUAUUGCACAAUGGGCGCAAGCCUGAUGCAGCCAUGCCGCGUGUAUGAAGAAGGCCUUCGGGUUGUAAAGUACUUUCAGCGGGGAGGAAGGGAGUAAAGUUAAUACCUUUGCUCAUGGACGUUACCCGCAGAAGAAACACCGGCUAACUCCGU
rnacentral:rRNA from 1 species